rnacentral:tRNA from 1 species
GGCCGCUUGGUGAAAUCGGCGGACACGCAAGAUUCGGGACCUUUUGCCGAAAGGCGUCGGGGUUCGAAUCCCCGAGUGGCCC